AUGCUUGUUGAGACAAACAAGCAUGAACUAUAUCAUAUUGUUUACAAGCUUCUUAAGUUGGUAUUGAUUCUCCCAGUAGCUACUGCUAGUGUUGAAAGGGUAUUCUCUUUAAUGAGCUAUGUGAAGAAUAAGUUAAGGAACAAAAUGGGUGAUGAAUAUUUGAACAAUUGUUUGGUUACAUUUGUUGAGAGAGAAUUUUUCAAUCAAGUGAAGGAUGAAGAUGUCAUCAAUCUCUUCCAGAAAGGCGACCGCAAAGUUAUAUUGUAA
rnacentral:rRNA from 1 species